ACGCAUUGCCGGGUAGCUAAGUGCGGAAGAGAUAAGUGCUGAAAGCAUCUAAGCACGAAACUUGCCAAGAGAUGAGUUCUCCCAAUCAAAGAGAUUGUAAGGGUUGUUGUAGACUACGACGUAGAUAGGUCUGGUGUGUAAGUGUAGUGAUGCAUUGAGCUAACAGAUACUAAUUGCCCGAGAGGCUUAACUAUACAACGCUCAAG
rnacentral:rRNA from 1 species